GCUGGCGUAGCUCAGUUGGUAGAGCAUCUGAUUUGUAAUCAGAGGGUCGGGGGUUCAAGUCCCUUCGCCAGCUCCA
rnacentral:tRNA from 2 species